rnacentral:tRNA from 2 species
GGGUGUGUGGCGGAACUGGAAUACGCGUACGCCUCAGAAGCGUAUGGAGCAAUCCUUGGAGGUUCGAAUCCUCUCACACCCA